UUCUUUUAGUUUAUAUUAAAGGUAUUUUCUGCCCUAUGAUUAAUUAAAUUAAAUGGCUGCAGUAUCUUGACUGUACAAAGGUAGCAUAAUAAUUAGUUUCUUAAUUAGGAUCUAGAAUGAAUGAAUAUAUGAGGGAUUUAUUUUAUUUUUCUUAAGUUUAGAAUUUUAUUUUUUUGUUAAAAAGCUUAAUUGUAUUUUAGGGACGAUAAGACCCUAUAGAACUUAAUAAUUAUUUAAUUUUUUAUUAUUUAGAUUUUUAAUUAUUAAUUUUAAAUUAUUUAUUUUAGUUGGGGUGACUAUUAAUUUUUAACUUUAAUUUUUUUAUUCAUUAAUCUAUGUUUAUAUUGAUCCUUUUUAAGAUUAUAAGAUAAGUUACCUUAGGGAUAACAGCGUUAUUUUAGUGGAAAGUUCAUAUUUAUACUAAAGUUUGCGACCUCGAUGUUGAAUUAAGAUUUAAUGAUUUGGUGUAGUAGCUAAUUUUUAAAGUCUGUUCGACUUUUAUAUUCUUACA
rnacentral:rRNA from 1 species